ensembl:lncRNA
AUGGAAGUUGAGAAUAAAGAAGGAACCGAGAGCCCUCUGCCCAAUGGCAGCACCCAUCCACCCAAACGUGGACGAGGCAGACCACGAGGGUCACUCAAUAAGAAGUUCACUGCCGAGAAAGCGCCGACACCCAAUGCUAGGCCAUCGAAAAAGGUGGACUUCUUUUCUCCUGACAUAGUCAUAAAGACCAAGGUGAAGAAACGUGGUCGACCAAAGAAGAUAAAAAUGCCCGGUAGGCCGAGAAAGAUCCCGCUCACGCCUGAGGAAGAAUCAGAGAGACUUCACAGGUUGAGUUUACAACGUAAGCGGAGACUGUCAAAACCCCUUGGAAGACCACGCAUUCAUCCCAUCGCUGAAGGUCCCAAGGUAAAAAGAGGUAGAGGAAGACCACGCAAGUAUGGAGCAAAAUCCGGUUCGCAAAGCGGCGGAGCCAAACAAGAUGGCGUCGAAAGCAACAUUGAUGUCGCCAACAGCCCUCCACAAAAAAGGGGGAGGCCAGCAGGCUCGUUGAAAAGGAAGAGGGGUCGGCCCGCAGGUUCUACCAAGGUUGCCAAGAUUGCCAGGGCCUCAGAUGGAACCCCAAAAAAGAGAGGCCGCCCUCCAGGUUCUCCCAACAAGGUGAAGAAGAUUCAGCGGGCUGACGGAUCUCCGCGCAGGAGAGGCCGACCCCCAGGCUCUGGCACCAAACUGAAGGUCAUUCAACGAAACCCUGACGGAACUCCUCGCAAGAGGGGACGACCUCCAGGUUCUGGCAAAAAGGUCAAGAUUGUCGAAAAGAAAGUCGGAGACACUCCCCGCAAGAGAGGCCGACCUCCAGGUACCGGCAAAAUCAAGGCUCGUACCGCAGAAGGUGGAGAGACGGGAGGUGAGAAUGCCGAUGGCGCCGCUCCGCGUCGUAAGAGAGGACGUCCAAGCAAAGUCAGACUCGCAGUCGUUCUCGAAAAACUUCCCUCGGCGUCCGCGGAGGAAGACGAAGAGGAGACCGAUGCACCCUCUCCCAAACAAUCUCGCACCUCUGAUGAUUCGUCGCAAAAUCCAAAUGAUGAAGAUGAAGAUACCAGGGCGAGUGAGAACGAUGCAGACCCAGAAGACGAAGAGGAAGAUGACGCCAUUGAUUGUUCAAAAGUGAACAACACAAGUGAGAACGAGAUGGUGGGCAAAUUCAAAAAAAAGAAAUAA